UCCCUUUACUGAUUUCCAGUCAUCUGAAGUAGUAAAUUCAACUCAAAGCUGAUGAUAACAAAGGGCAAAGAUUGGUUUUAAUGCAAAUCUAGCAAUAUCGCGCCAAUCUAGCAAUAUCGCACCAGCGAAAUCAGGAAUGAACUUAUGAAGAAGCAGGGAUUCGCCUAUAUUGGCCAAAGAAUUCGGGAUUCGGGUGCUUCAGGGUUUCGAUUCGGGUAGAGCAGAUCACAAAAUUUGACCAAAAAAUUAGUCAAAUUCGCUUCCACAGAGAAAUUAUUACCUAACAAGUUUGGACAAGGAAUGCUCUUCAGCUCUCCUCUUCACGGCGAUCGACAGUGAGAUCCUCUUCCACGCGAGAUCUCU
rnacentral:lncRNA from 1 species